GGAGAGAUAGUUCAGUGGUUGAGAGCACUGGCUGCUCUUCCAGAGGUCCUGAGUUCAAUUCUCAGCAACUACA
rfam:Cricetulus griseus cell line CHO-K1, whole genome shotgun sequence.